CCUCGAGUUUAUUUUCUUUUCUAUUUUAUUUUCCUCGAUGAUUCUCUUUUUUUUCCGCACUCACCUUGGCUUUUGAAAGUUAUGGGGUUUUACCCCAAACUUAGAAUUUCAACACAGCUUAAUAAUAUCAACUUGACUCUGAACAGGGUAAGGAAGUAUUUUAGGCCAAAGGUUACAUUUAUGUGGUUAGAAAAAAACAAAGCGUACAGGCUCAAAU
rnacentral:lncRNA from 1 species